UGCAAGUCGAACGGUAACAUUUCUAGCUUGCUAGAAGAUGACGAGUGGCGGACGGGUGAGUAAUGCUUGGGAACUUGCCUUUGCGAGGGGGAUAACAGUUGGAAACGACUGCUAAUACCGCAUAAUGUCUACGGACCAAACGGGGCUUCGGCUCCGGCGCAAAGAGAGGCCCAAGUGAGAUUAGCUAGUUGGUAAGGUAACGGCUUACCAAGGCGACGAUCUCUAGCUGUUCUGAGAGGAAGAUCAGCCACACUGGGACUGAGACACGGCCCAGACUCCUACGGGAGGCAGCAGUGGGGAAUAUUGCACAAUGGGGGAAACCCUGAUGCAGCCAUGCCGCGUGUGUGAAGAAGGCCUUCGGGUUGUAAAGCACUUUCAGUUGUGAGGAAAAGUUAGUAGUUAAUACCUGCUAGCCGUGACGUUAACAACAGAAGAAGCACCGGCUAACUCCGUGCCAGCAGCCGCGGUAAUACGGAGGGUGCGAGCGUUAAUCGGAAUUACUGGGCGUAAAGCGCACGCAGGCGGUUUGUUAAGCUAGAUGUGAAAGCCCCGGGCUCAACCUGGGAUGGUCAUUUAGAACUGGCAGACUAGAGUCUUGGAGAGGGGAGUGGAAUUCCAGGUGUAGCGGUGAAAUGCGUAGAUAUCUGGAGGAACAUCAGUGGCGAAGGCGACUCCCUGGCCAAAGACUGACGCUCAUGUGCGAAAGUGUGGGUAGCGAACAGGAUUAGAUACCCUGGUAGUCCACACCGUAAACGCUGUCUACUAGCUGUGUGUGUC
rnacentral:rRNA from 1 species